UACGGAGGGUGCGAGCGUUGUCCGGAAUCACUGGGCGUAAAGGCGCGUAGGUGGCGGUCCAAGUCAACGGUGAAAGCUCGGGCUCAACCCGAGUCGCCGUCGAUACUGGGUUGCUUGAGCACUGUAGAGGCAGAUGGAAUUCCGGGUGUAGCGGUGGAAUGCGUAGAGAUCCGAAGAACACCGGUGGCGAAGGCGUCUGCUGGGCAGUAGCUGACACUGAGGCGCGACAGCGUGGGAGCAACAGG
rnacentral:rRNA from 1 species